rnacentral:rRNA from 1 species
AGAACGAACGCUGGCGGCAUGCCUAACACAUGCAAGUCGAACGAGACCUUCGGGUCUAGUGGCGCACGGGUGCGUAACGCGUGGGAAUCUGCCCUUAGGUUCGGAAUAACAGUUAGAAAUGACUGCUAAUACCGGAUAAUGUCUUCGGACCAAAGAUUUAUCGCCAAAGGAUGAGCCCGCGUAAGAUUAGCUAGUUGGUAGGGGUAAAAGCCUACCAAGGCGACGAUCUUUAGCUGGUCUGAGAGGAUGAUCAGCCACACGUGGGACUG